CCUACGGGGGGCUGCAGUGGGGAAUAUUGGACAAUGGGGGGAACCCUGAUCCAGCCAUGCUGCGUGUGUGAAGAAGGCCCUCGGGUUGUAAAGCACUUUCAGUGAGGAAGAACGCCUGGUGGUUAAUACCCAUCAGGAAAGACAUCACUCACAGAAGAAGCACCGGCUAACUCCGUGCCAGCAGCCGCGGUAAUACGGAGGGUGCGAGCGUUAAUCGGAAUUACUGGGCGUAAAGCGCGCGUAGGUGGCUUGAUAAGCCGGUUGUGAAAGCCCCGGGCUCAACCUGGGAACGGCAUCCGGAACUGUCAAGCUAGAGUGCAGGAGAGGAAGGUAGAAUUCCCGGUGUAGCGGUGAAAUGCGUAGAGAUCGGGAGGAAUACCAGUGGCGAAGGCGGCCUUCUGGACUGACACUGACACUGAGGUGCGAAAGCGUGGGUAGCAAACAGGAUUAGAUACCCCAGUAGUC
rnacentral:rRNA from 1 species